GCUAUUUUGGCAGAAAAAUGUAAUGAUUUUAGAGUUCAUAAAUAUAUAAUUUAAUUAUAUAAAUAGUA
rnacentral:tRNA from 1 species